CGCUGGCGGCGUGCCUAAUACAUGCAAGUCGAACGCACUCUCGUUUAGAUUGAAGGAGCUUGCUCCUGAUUGAUAAACAUUUGAGUGAGUGGCGGACGGGUGAGUAACACGUGGGUAACCUGCCCUAAAGUGGGGGAUAACAUUUGGAAACAGAUGCUAAUACCGCAUAAAACCCAACACCGCAUGGUGUAGGGUUGAAAGAUGGUUUCGGCUAUCACUUUAGGAUGGACCCGCGGUGCAUUAGUUAGUUGGUGAGGUAAAGGCUCACCAAGACCGUGAUGCAUAGCCGACCUGAGAGGGUAAUCGGCCACACUGGGACUGAGACACGGCCCAGACUCCUACGGGAGGCAGCAGUAGGGAAUCUUCCACAAUGGACGAAAGUCUGAUGGAGCAACGCCGCGUGAGUGAAGAAGGUUUUCGGAUCGUAAACUCUGUUGUUGGAGAAGAAUGUAUCUGAUAGUAACUGAUCAGGUAGUGACGGUAUCCAACCAGAAAGCCACGGCUAACUACGUG
rnacentral:rRNA from 1 species